UCUCUGUUGCUCUCCAACUUUCCAACUUUGUAGAGCAAGGGGACAAAAAAUAUCAACCAUUAUAAAAAAUUAUUCUCUUUACUUUUAUUUUUAUUUUAUGUUCUCAAAUUUUAAAUUAACAAAAGAAAUUAUUAUUUCUCUUCAUCCACGGAAUUAAUUGCACUACAAGCGAAUGACAUUUGAUCCUAACAUUUUAUUCUAUAUACAGUGGUGUCGUGCUCAAUAUCAUAAUACUUUAUAUCGUUUUCUGUAUCUAUAACUAUCUCCCAGCUUUGCACACAAUAUUAACCGUUUUUUCUAAAAUAUUUGAAUUCUUGCUAUUUAGUGAGGCAGAUCGAUAAAAUUUUUUAAAACCAGUA
rnacentral:lncRNA from 1 species